CUACGGGGUGCACCAGUCGAGAAUCAUUGUCAAUGAGCGCAAGCUUGAACGUGCGACGCCGCGUGUGGGAUGAAGGCCUUCGGGUUGUAAACCACUGUCAGGAGCUAACAAUAAGCGUGUAACCCACGUGAUGAGUUAAACUCCAGAGGAAGUGACAGCUAACUACGUGCCAGCAGCUGCGGUAAUACGUAGGUCGCAAACGUUGUUCGGAUUUACUGGGCUUAAAGGGCGCGUAGGCGGUUUCGCAAGUCAAGGUUGAAAUCCGGCGGCUCACCCGUCGAAGUGGCCUCGAUACGGCGGAACUAGAAUCAGGGAGGGGUGCGCGGAACUUGUGGUGGAGCGGUGAAAUGCUCAGAUAUCACAGGGAACACCGGAGGCGAAGGCGGCGCACUGGCCAUGUAUUGACGCUGAGGCGCGAAAGCGUGGGGAGCGAACGGGAUUAGAUACCCUCGUAGUC
rnacentral:rRNA from 1 species